rnacentral:misc_RNA from 1 species
AAAACGGAUACGCUAACGCUGUGCAAAAUUCAAAACUGGAAAUCAAUAAAAGAGAGUGACACACAAAAAAAAAACACAUGAAAAAGACAAUGGCAUCAUAUCAAUUCCAUGGAUCAUCCCAGCCCUUAGGUCCUUCUCUUUUAACAAAAUCAAUUAUUGCCUGGACAGCUUCAUGAACCCUGUUAGAGAGGGAGUGAUUCCCGUGUUCAAUUUCAACUUUCUCUGCACCACCCAUUGCUCUGCACAAUCUUUCAACCAAUGCUUUCUUAUCCACAUAUUCUGGAACGUAUUCAUCGCCCAUGGAAAAGAUAACCUGGCAAGGUGUGUUGCUCAUGUGCCCAAGUCUUGUUCUCAGCUGGUCAUCAGUAAGAUCAGAACUGAACAUGUCAUCAUCACCCAUAAACGCACAAAGGGAGUGAUACCUAUAAGCAGUUAUUGGGGAAGAUGAAUCUGCUUCCCUAGGCAUUAAUUCUGAUCCCCGACCUUCUGCUAUCAUAGUUGAAGCCAAGUCAAUCAUAGAAGCUGUUUCAGGAAGAGUUGCCCUGUAUUCCCGAUCACUGACUGGAGCCUGCAAAAUAGCAGCACGGACUGCUCGGGAGCAUGCAGCAUUGGUACGCAUAUAAUGAACAAUAUCCUGACAACCAGUGCUGUGUCCAAGUAGGACCACACCCUCAGAGUUUUCUUUGUUGAUCAAAUGACUUACAAGCUGAUCAAUCUCCAUGGCAUCUUGUUGCAAGGUGGAAGUUCCGUAUCCGCUAUAUGAUGAUGACAUAAGCAGCUGAACAAGUGACCAUUUCUCCCCAUCCAAAGCAAUUGCCAAAGACUCUAAGUAUUCAGUUGCGAGAAACCCAUCAGUUAAUCCACCAAUAAAAACGAUUUGUUGUUUANNUGUUUUAAAUGCAACCUGGAUAGGCUUUGGUCCGUACUUAAAGAGCACACCGCGGAACUGGUUCUUGGCAAUGAUUGGACCGGCGAAAUCCCCUCCGCUUGUGCCCGAACUUCCAGCCAUUUUAAGGCUCCCGGAUCGAUCAGACCGGCCACGAACAAUGCCAGAGAACCAUGAAGUAGC